UAUAAUAUUUUUAAGAAACAUGCAAUGAAAUUUAAAUCGGAAAAUUUUUAUAAAAACGAUUGAAACCAGUCAUUUUUUGUAUUGAUUGGUAAUUCUAAUGUUAAAGUUUUUACCUUCGAAAUCUAAAUCAUACAUACACAUAAUAAACUUAUAUUGUAGUCUCAUAAAGUGGAAAUGGAAUAGUGCGCGAAGUAUUGUGUACAGGCGGUUAAAUAUGAAACUGAAUUAUAUAACUAUUUUAGACAUACAUAAGAGUAGGAUACACAGAUGGCACAAUUUUUUCAUCUUUUAAUAAUACUAUAAUAUAAUCUAACAAUAGAACAGAAAAAUUGUUAAAAAUUUUUAAGAAUAUAUUAAAUUAAUCAAUUUUUGAUUGCUUUAACCUCCACAUAGCGUGUGUUAGGACAUGAGUUACCAUUCCCACUUUAUUUCAUUUAAGGAAUUGUCGCGCAUACGCAUAACGAACAAAGUUUUUUGCCAGCAGAGAAAAUAAUAUCAUUUAUACCGUGAUAUUUUCAGCCUUUUCCCGAUUUAAUUGGUAAUGUAGUCUUCUUAUUACAUAUAUGGAAUCUCUAUUGCAAUAAUCGAAAUAAAAUUAUAUCGAUAAUCAAAAUCUCAUUCGAGAUACACCAAACAGAAGAAUCGAUAAUACAAAAUGGCUUCUUGUUAAAGAAUGAACGUAUGCGUAUUAUCAAGUGCAGUGAUUCCAUAAUAUUUUCAUUAUUUAUAAUUUAUAUAAUAUCAACAUGGGCUCAUCAGAUAUAGAAGCCUUAGAUUCAAAAAGAGAAAUCGUUGGCAUAGACUCAGAAUCAGAUAUGCUUGGUGAUCAAAGGAAAAAGAAGAAAAGAAAACACAAGCACCACAAACAUAAAAAGGAUAGAGUGAUAGAGAAAGAAGAUGGAAGAAUAGAUAGACAAGAAAGAAAAAAACACAAGAAACAUAAAAGACCGCGUAAAGAGAAAGAAAUUGAAAAUGGUUCAUUGGAUGAGAAAGCAUCAUCUCGUAUUAAUCAGAAAGAAAUUGGUCUUAAUGGCAAGGUCAAAAAUUCAUUAUUAGAAAUAGUUUCUACAGAAGAAAGCGAAGAUGAGAAAUUAAUAGAUCUUGAUUCUGAUGAAGUAGAUUGUACUAUUAUUGAAGAUGAUAUUGAUUUGGAAGAAUUAAUGAAACAGAAGGAGCGAUUACAAGCAUGUUUAGUUCAAUAUUUGUCAGAUGAGUCGGAAAAGGAAGAUAAGGAACCGGAAGAGGAGGAAGAAGAAGAAGAAGAAGAAGAAGAAGAAGGAGGAGAGGAGGAUGAAGAAACAAAAGCAGAAACUCCAGAUGUAAUACUCGUAGAAGACGAUAGUGAAGAUGACAAUAUACUCCAUAAAAAACGACCUAGAAGUAAGUCAGGAAGUAGGGAACGUAAAAAAAUAUCGAAACCUGAAAGACGCGUUGUAGUUGAUAUGAGUAGAGAUCGAAGAACCAGAGAGGACCACAAAGAUAAGAGAAGAGAUUCUGACAGAAGAAGAGAGGAUAAGACCCGGCCAAGAGAAGAAAUAAAAAGGGAUGAUGUGAGAAGGGAUGAGAAACGAAAAACUAAUGAAAGGCAUAAGGAAGAUUCGAGAAAAGAGGAUUCUAGAAAAAGGAUAGAAGAAGAGAAACGUAAAGAUACUACUAGUAGUAGAAGGGAUGAAUCGCGCAAAAGAGAGCACGAUCGAAGGGAGGAAGAACGAGUAGACAGAAAACGAGAUCUGAGUCGACACUUAUCUAGAUCUCAUAACGAUUCUAAGUGUCAAGAUGCUAAAGUAGAUAUUAAACAUAUUUCAUCGAGGCGUGAUAGUCGUGAUAGAGGAGACAAUCGGGACCGUCAAAGUAGUCGAGAUCGACAAUCAAGCCGGGAUCGACAUACUAGUCGCGAUCGUUAUAAUCGAGAUAGACCACUAAGUAAAGAUCGUCAUUCCAGUCGUGAUAAAAGAGAUAGCAGAGAACGACAUACUAGUCGAGAUCGUCAUGCCAACAGGGAUAGGCAAGCCAGUCGUGAUCGUAUGGACACAAGGGAUCGACGCGAUAGUCGGAAUCAUGAGAAGAUCAGAGAACGAUCUAGAAGUACGAGAAGAUCUCGUAGUCCCAUUAGAAAUAGAAUGGACAGAGAUCGCAACGAUCGUUAUAAAAGAUCGCGUUCUUUAUCUCGAAGUCGAAGGGGUAGGGAAAAACACAUACGAGAUCAUGAAAGGGAUAGAGAGAAGAAUGGUAAAAAGGAAAGAAGUGAUAAGUACAAAGACUCUUUGUCGGAAGGCCUAAAAGUCGAACGUUUUGACAGUUCUAGCGAAGAAGAGAUCAAGGAUAUUGACAUUGAGGAAGAGGAAGAUGAGGAAGCUAUUAUUGAACGUAGAAGAAAACAGAGAGGAGAGUUACUCAAGCGAUUAAGUGGACCAUAUGAAGAUUCAAAUAUGUCUGCUGAUGUAACAGCUGUCACUGGAACUCCUCCGUCUGAAAGUCAUUCAAAUACAUCUCAAAAAUCACCAGAGAUACCUUCAAACAAUAAUGAAUCCACUUCUGAAAGCCAUACUCCGCCACUGCCUGAAAAACCAAAGUCACCACAGCCAGUUAAGAAAAGAAAGUCUAGAUUUGAGGAUGCAUUACCUGAAGAAUCUGAGAAGGUUGAAAAUAUACAAAAUGCAGAGAAAGUUAAGCAAGAUGAAAAACAAAGUACAAAGAAAACAAAUGAAUGGGAUAUGUUUGCUGAAGCGGAUAAUAUCGGUGAUUUUAAUAGCCCUACCGUUGAAGGAAAACGUUUAGGUGGUCCUGACAAUCCUAGUUUAACAGAUAAUUGGGAUGAUGCAGAAGGAUAUUAUCGCGUUCGGGUUGGUGAGACUUUAGAUUCGCGAUAUGUUGUUUAUGGUUAUACAGGACAAGGAGUUUUUAGCAAUGUCGUAAGGGCUAGAGACAGUGCUCGAGGCAAUUUAGAUGUUGCGGUGAAAAUAAUCCGGAAUAAUGAAAUUAUGCAUCGUACUGGUCUCAAAGAAUUAGAAAUACUUCGAAAACUUAACGAUGCAGAUCCAGAGGACCGAUUUCAUUGUUUGAGAUUAUUUCGACAUUUUUUUCAUAAAAAUCAUCUAUGUAUGGUUUUUGAACCAUUAGCUAUGAAUUUAAGAGAGGUAUUGAAAAAAUAUGGUAAAGAUGUGGGUCUGCAUGUUAAAGCAGUCAGGUCGUAUACACAACAGCUUUUCCUUGCAUUAAAAUUAUUAAAACGAGCAAAUAUUUUACACGCUGACAUUAAACCAGAUAAUAUUCUAGUCAGUGAAAGUAAACUGGUAUUGAAACUUUGUGAUUUUGGUUCUGCCUCUCAUGCUCAUGAAAAUGAGAUAACACCGUAUCUUGUAUCAAGAUUUUAUCGUGCUCCUGAAAUUAUUCUUGGUAUACCAUAUGAUUUUGGCAUUGACAUGUGGUCUGUUGGAUGCACAAUAUAUGAAUUAUACACUGGAAAAAUAAUGUUUUCGGGAAAAACAAACAAUCAGAUGUUAAAGUUUUUCAUGGAUCUAAAGGGCAAGAUGCCUAAUAAACUAAUAAGGAAAGGAACCUUCAAGGAUCAACAUUUUGACUCUAACUGCAAUUUUCUUUAUCAUGAAGUUGAUAAAGUUACUGAGCGGGAAAAAAUCGUCGUAAUGUCCACUCUUCCGGCAACUCGUGAUCUUAAUGCAGAACUUGGUGGGAAUUCAUUACCACCCGAACAAAGUCGGAAAGUUGGUCAGCUGAAAGAUCUGCUAGAACGCACGUUGAUGUUGGAUGCAGGGAAAAGAAUCACUGUGAACCAUGCUCUGGCACACCCUUUUAUACAAGAAAAAAUUUAGCAGAAAGAGGCGGCGCAUAGUUUCAAGUGUAACUCAAUCAAGACAACGAAGAGCAAAAAGCAGUAAAUAUUUAUAAUGUGAAUGAGUCAGACUGGAAAAAGUGACCGCCUCUUUCAGCAUGAACUGGCCAUCGAUACUUAGCAUUAUGGUGAUGAAUCUUCAAUUCGAAUCAUCUUUAUGUGCAAGCGGACCUUUCAAGGGCCUUUAGUGCUGAUCCCGUUGCAAGCCCUCCCUGUGAGGAGGGGAGGCAACGGAAGAGAUCAGAUGCUGAGAAGGAAUGAUGAAAGGUGUCCCAAAGGAAUGGUAAAAACAACGCAUAGAUACUCUCUGCUCCGUCUCAUCAAACCUGCUUAAACAAGAUAUCAUCGUCGAGUCAUCAAAGAAUGGAUCAUCAAAGAUUGAACUAAUUAUGAGCCAAUACAAGGUUUGUCUUAAAGACUUAUCAAGAAGAGCAAAACUGUAAGUAUGUAUGCAGGUAAAGUAUAUAUCGUAAAAAUGUUAAAAAUAAAAAAUUAUAAAGAUAUAGCGUUUUUACAAUUCAUUAUUUUUAUAAUAUGAUAAGCAAUAAUUAAGAUUUUAAUAUAUAUUCUAAUCAUUAUGGCUUUGAGUUUUCAGAUAAUUAAUUAAAAAUCUCAAAAGAGUAUAACAACACAUAUAAUACUGAAGAAACAUACAAUGAAAGAUAUUAUGUGUUAAUAUACGUAUAUACUUUUAAUAAAACUUAUACAAUAAAUAUAUUAGUAUAAUACAAUCACAGCGAGAUGUGGAAAUUUUGAUAUAAUGAAAUAUUAUCUAUUAAUUUUGUGUAAGAAAUGUAAUAACGCAAAAAUAUAGUUUAUAUAUUAUACGAUUUAAAAAUUGUUCUUUCAUUAUCUUAAUAUCGUCAUAGAUAAGUAAUCACGAAGAACCAACCGACAAAAUAAAGUAAAGGAAGAAAACGGAGCUUGGCAUAUAAUAUUUAGAACAAUCUUUCUUUAUUUUCAUUUCUAUCAAUGCCGCAUUAUAAAACAUAAUUUGUAAGAGAUAUGUAUAGUAUAUAUAUACUAUACAACACACACACACACACACACACACAUACGAUUGGAGUCUUUGGUAUAAGUACAACCGAACAAGUAAAUACAAGACGAAAAGAAUGAUCACUAUGUUAUACGAAUUUUCAAUCUCGUUCCGGAUAAUACUGUACAAGUUGUUUACACAAUUCUUGAGCUAAUUCCAUGGAUGAUGCACAUAAUACUCUUCUGCU